CCCUAACCGCGACCUGCCGGUAGAACCAAAGUUAUCAAAAGAAGCGUGACCCUAACCACGACCUGCCGGUAGAACCAACACUAUCAAGUUCUAAUCCAAGAACAAAGGUGAAGCUCUCACAUAAGAGAAACCCUCAAAUUUCAUUCAUGCGUUCUCUCCUCUCAAGUACAAUCAGGUGCUAUUUUAAGGCUGAAAUGGCUUCAAAGAGAAGCAACUCCUAGGAAAUUACAUAGCACUACUUGUCAUGCAUUUUCCAAGGCUGCAUUUACCAAGGCUUGGAAAAGAUGCAUGUUACACCUACUCCN
rnacentral:lncRNA from 1 species